AUACAAAGGUAUUGUAAUAAGACUUUAAUUGAGAGCUAAGAGAAUGGAAUUUCAAAAAAUUUCUUUUUUGAAAUUAAAAAUUAAAGUUAUUUUUCUUUGUGAAGAAACAAAAAUGAAAAUUAAGGACAAGAAGACCCUAUGAAUUUUUAUUUUAUUAUACAGUAAAAUUGUAUUAGUAUAAUUAAAUUUAAUUGGGGCGAUUAAAAAAUAUAACUAACUUUUUAAAAAUUUAAAAUGAUCCUUUAUUAAAGAUAUAUUGGACAAAUACUCUAGGGAUAACAGCGUAAUAAUUUUAGAUAGUUCUUAUAGAAAAAAUA
rnacentral:rRNA from 1 species